rnacentral:SRP_RNA from 1 species
CCGAGCAGCCGGGGUGUUAGCGGUACCCUGUACCAACAAUCCGCUAUAGUUGGGGUGAUGCCGAACGGAGGGUCUUUUAAUUGCAGAGCUGCCCGCCAUAAGUGGCGUUGAUGUCUGGGUCUUGCGCAACAGGAAUCUGUGAACCGGGUCAGGUCAGGAAUGGAGCAGCCCUAAGCAGAAGCUUCUGUGUGCCGCAAGGGUGCCUGGGCUGAGUUAACUGUGGUGGUAACGUCUGUGAUUGGGAUUCGAAGGGAGGCGCCCGG